CCAACAUGGCAGCUUCCAUAUUGUGGAAAAAUGGCGACCGAAUUGACUUCCUUUGUUUGGAUCUUCGGUUAAUGUCUCACUCGCUCCAGUUUACAAAUACGGUUUAUGGUUUUGUGAACUGUCUGUAGCAGGCUGGUUUCUGCAUCCCUGACAGGUUUGUCUGAUCAGCUGAGAGUCUGGAUUGCAGAAGACGCCGCGUCGGAAGAGGACCAUCUGCCUUCACGGCUGCAGAGCGACGGCGAGCAUGACGAUGCAGAAAGACCAGCGCCUCCCGCUCAGACACAGCGGCGGCGGUGACGGCAGAAGCGUCUCAGCAUCCUGAAGAGAGGACGAGCUCGCGGGCUGAUGAAUGACAGAGUACUCUGGCGUGUGUCAGCAGACCCGUGUAAUCGGAGCAGAUCUGCACCAAAGUGCUGCGUGACCGAGAUCUGAUUGACCUAAAAGCACCUUGUUGACCUUGGCAGCAAACCACAGGCGGUCCGGAGCCUGAGGGAUGCUGGGAGGCAGCGGCCUGGACCUGUUUGAACGUCUGUCAUACGUUUCUGGCUCUGGGUGGCCUUAGUGAAAUCACUUUAUUUCACCCUGGAAGUGGAUAAUCUGCAGGAUGGAGACGAGUGACAGACCCCAGGACGCUACAAAUCCUAAAAAGUUCUUGGAUGCAUGGAAUCAAACGAGUCUUUUCAUCUCAGAGCCGCUGCUGGACGUCUGUCAGAGGGUCUGGAUGAGCGCGCUGACAUCCCUCUUCAACCUCCUCCACCUCCAAACGGUGGGAUUCCUGACCCGUUCACUGUCGCUGAGACCACUGAGCUGCUUUUUUGUGUUGCUUCUCUCUCCAGUUUCCAUCGCUGGAGAUGUUCAUCCAGAGUCCUAUCACCAGCACGAGUUCGACUUUCCUCCAUUAAAUCUCCGAUGACGGUUUAAAAAUGCGAGAAAAGUUCUAAAAGGGGAGCGUUGCAAACUAAAUGUUUGGCUGCGGGCGAUGAAAGCAAGAAGCUUCUUCUUUGCUUUGGGGAAACGAUCAAACCCAAAAGACAAAGCAUUAAUUAUUCAGCCUUCCUGCACCGCUCUCCAACUCUGAUCAUGACUGGAAGCGGGUCUGGGGUGUCAGCUUGACUGGUUUUUAAACUCAAACAUAUUUGCUCCCGUAUGAUGUGAAAGCUGCUCGCAGGGCUUUUUGGUUUGAAUGGUACAAACCAUUUUGUUGCCCAUAGCAAUCAAAAGUACUCCACACCCCAAACCAGUGGGUGUGGCCUAUUUGAGACUGGUUUGUGAAUGGAAAUGGAAAUGAGAGCUCCUUGUUCACAGCUACAUGUAAAACACGAACAAGGGGAAGGGGAUCUAAAAUGUGUUUAUUUUUGUUCAUUUAUUUGUUGACAGCGUUCCACACACUGCGAUGCUGUGGACCUCAUGCAUCCUGAAGCCCAGCAGGGCCGCAGUGAUCUGCACUCCGGUUGGAGUGGCGUGGAGGCUGGAGUGGGAGUGGUCUUGGCAUGUUGACUCCUUCAUACCACUGUCACGCUUUGCACAAGGUGCCCCGGAGGAGUGUCACGCCCAAUUCUUCUCACUUAGUGUGUCCCUGUCACACUCCGGGUUGCCAUAGUCACACGGCAUUCCUCUCCCUCCAUCUGUCGCUGGUACUUUUGUUGCAUAAGUUGUUCUGAUCACCAGCUUCCAGCUUUGAUCUGAACCUUGCAUUGUUCGGGAAACGUCUGAGCCAGGAACCAAAAGCUACUUCCAUAUCCGUCAACUUUAGCUACUUGUCAAAGGGUCAUGUGUUCUGUAAUUAACUUCUGGGCGAGCACAAAGAGGAAGCCCGGCUAUCAAAGUUUAAGCCUCAAACAAACAAGAGGCCAGCAGCCUCCUCCUCCUCCUAAAGUGUCACCGGCUGCUGCGACGGCGUUAUCAAUCCGUUUGUCAUGUUGCGGUUCCAAACCCCCACCCAGCUCCAGACCAUCCUGUCUUCCAGCAGUCGUGAAAGCACCACGUGGAGAAGCGGCACACAUGGUUUCAGUUACAGCCAGAUUGCACAACAGUUCCCUGCAAAGCCGACAUGCGCAGCUUGUCUGAAAUCCUUAACUGUCAGCAAAAAUGCGAGUCUGCUGCAGAUUUAAUGAUACCUGCCACCACAUGACUGUGCAGAAAAAAAAAGAGUUGUGUGUAGUUCUUCUCUGUGCACGCUGACAUCUGAGUCACAGGAAGUAGGUUAAAGGUGAAAUUUAGAGUCCUGAGUGUUGAUUGCUGCUUGUUAUUUUCAGAGCAGAGCGUGUUUUCAUAAAAAAGGUGAAGUGAAAAUGAAAGUCAUCUCACAUAAUUACCCAGCUUGUACCAUGCAGUCAAGAGGAAUUUCUUUUUUUUAAAGUUUUCUGCAUUUGGAAUAAACCAUUUCACCCGUACAUGGCAUUCUAAAUGAUGAUGCAAAUUGUAUUUAAGUGUCAUAAACAUCAGAUUUUGAAGGCUGUGUUAUUUCUGUUUCAGUAAAGACCUGAGGACCGGAGAUAAAUGUUCAUAGGGCACAAAAACACAGGAACAAAAACAAGCACUAUGUAAAGCUCUGAUAAGACGAACAUCAUUCUUCUUCCAGUCCAGACACUGUUUGCCUUCAGCGUUCCUCUUCAAUGAUCCAUUAUUUAUCAACAGAAAGGUUCAGAGCUCAUAAACCUCAUAACGGUUUCCUGUCUGGGCUGUUUAUGGUCUCCAGUCUCCAGUUACAUUUCACAGUAGGAGCAUCUCCCAUGAAGCUUUUAGAAAGCUGAACCGUUUUUGGUAUAGGUAAAAAAACAAAAAAACAAUUAUUUGACGUGUCACCUUGGAGAUGGCAGCUGACAGCUGUUUCAUGCACAAGCUGGGCUUAAUUGGCGGGGAAAUUAGCCUGACCUUGACUGCGGCAGGGCGGGCGAUGAGCUGCCGUUCCCCGCCACUCCAAAUGACAUUGUUGUAAUUUUCGACAGCGGCGAGGAAACACUCUGAGCAUUAAUUAUAUGGUGGAAUGUGCCUUGGUGCAACAGAGGCGCACAGUGAAUACUUAUGUAAGCUGUCGCUCCAGUCUCCAUGGCAACCUGCAGCAUUUCUAAGACGUGCCGCCUCUGAUUUGCCAUCCCCUCAAAAUGGGCUGUUUCCAUGGAAACCAGGCAGCAGCCUCUGAUGAUGGCUCUCACGAAAAUGACACCCUGGAACGCCUCUAGAUCCGUACGCGUGCAUGUGGGGAUGCGUGAUGCGCAUGCGACGGCAGCAGUGGCAGGGGGGGCAGGGGGGGUAUCGUGACGCUACAGCUCAAGAUGAAAACAGAUAGAGAAAGCGAAAGACGUUUUAACCACAUCAGUCCCUCCCAGCUGCAGCGGUUUACCUGCGACAGGCGCUCUGUGACUCUGACGCCGACUCGGCUCUGCCACAUGAUUCACACGCAUCAUGUCGACUCAUGUGUCAUAGAGGAGUGUUGUGCACCAGCCUCGGAGGGCAGGGUAGACGUUAUCCGUGCACCGCCAUCUGCUGCA